AGCAGAUUCAAUAAAAAAAAGCAUAAAGUAUUCCUUCUUUACAGAAAUCCAAAGAAAAAUUAAAAUGUGAAAUCUCCAAAUGCACAAAAGGCUGGUCUGUGCCUCCCCUCAAAUAAUGUGACCUGCAAAGCUGAGCCGGAGCUUCAAGGAAAAUAAUUGGACAUUCUGCAGAAAGGAAGAAUUCAAGGCAUUCUUUCAAAGGAACCCAGAGAGGAAUUCUAAAGAACAAGAAGAAUUCAGUACAGCUUCCCAAAGGACUGCUCAAAGAUCUCCAGGUAGAGAAAAAUCUGUUCUGGAAAGGGGAAAAAAGGGAAAGAGACCAAAUAAGAGCAAGCCGCAU
rnacentral:lncRNA from 1 species